rnacentral:rRNA from 1 species
AAGACCCCAAGUAGACUACUUGGUUGAUAGGUCGGAGGUGUAAGGGCAGUAAUGUCUUUAGCUGACCGAUACUAAUAGGUCGAGGACUUGACCAA